rnacentral:rRNA from 1 species
UGAGCAAUCUGCCCUUCUCUUCGGAAUAAGCGUUGGAAACGACGUCUAAUGCCGAAUACGACCUCCUUUCGCAUGAUCGGAGGUGGAAAACUCCGGCGGAGAAGGAUGAGCUCGCGGCCUAUCAGCUAGUUGGUGUGGGUAAUGGCCCACCAGGGCGACGACGGGUAGCCGGCCUGAGAGGGUGACCGGCCACACUGGGACUGAGACACGGCCCAGACUCCUACGGGAGGCAGCAGG